rnacentral:rRNA from 1 species
UACGUAGGGUGCGAGCGUUAAUCGGAAUUACUGGGCGUAAAGCGUGCGCAGGCGGUUCUGCAAGUCAGAUGUGAAAUCCCCGGGCUUAACCUGGGAACUGCGUUUGAAACUACGGAGCUAGAGUGCGGCAGAGGGGGGUGGAAUUCCGACGUGUAGCAGUGAAAUGCGUAGAUAUGUGGAGGAACACCGAUGGCGAAGGCAGCCCCCUGGGCCGACACUGACGCUCAGGCACGAAAGCGUGGGGAGCAAACAGG